UACGUAGGCUGCGAGCGUUGUUCGGAAUUACUGGGCGUAAAGAGUGUGUAGGCGGUGCUCUAAGUUCGGUGUGAAAUCUCCCGGCUUAACUGGGAGGGUGCGCCGGAAACUGGAGUGCUCGAGCGUGGGAGAGGAAAGCGGAAUUCCUGGUGUAGCGGUGAAAUGCGUAGAUAUCAGGAGGAACACCUGCGGUGUAGACGGCUUUCUGGACCAUUGCUGACGCUGAGACACGAAAGCGUGGGUAGCAAACAGG
rnacentral:rRNA from 1 species